AGUGAAUAGAUACCCGGGUAGUCCCAGCUGUAAACGAUGCGCGUUAGGUGUAUCGGUGACCACGAGUCACCGAGGUGCCGAAAGAGAAAUCGUGAAACGUGCCGCCUGGGAAGUACGGUCGCAAGGCUGAAACUUAAAGGAAUUGGCGGGGGAGCACCACAACGGUGGAGCCUGCGGUUUAAUCGGACUCAACGCCGGGAAACUCACCAGAUAAGACAGCUGAAUGAUAGUCGGGCUGAAGACUCUACUUGACUAGCUGAGAGGAGGUGCAUGGCCGUCGUCAGUUCGUACUGUGAAGCAUCCUGUUAAGUCAGGCAACGAGCGAGACCCACGCCAACAGUUGCCAGCUCGUCCUCCGGGAUGGAGGGGACACUGUUGGGACCGCCUCUGCUAAAGAGGAGGAAGGAAUGGGCAACGGUAGGUCAGCAUGCCCCGAAUUAUCUGGGCUACACGCGGGCUACAAUGGGUGGGACAAUGGGUAUCGACACCGAAAGGUGAAGGCAAUCUCCUAAACCCAUCCUUAGUUCGGAUUGUGGG
rnacentral:rRNA from 1 species